CCCCUGUUCAACCGCAGAGUAGUCCUACGCACUGCUUCUACCUAGAGUAAUCUUCAUCAUCCAUCAUCUGUAAUUGUAGACAGUCACAUCUUCCACUGUGACUCAAGGUGCAGCUACAAGUAGAGAAGUGCUAAGGUUCUCAGUCACUUCAAAUACACUUGUUGAAGACUGCUUCUAGUGCAUAAUCAAAUUGAAAAUCCCAUUAUCGAUCAUAACGGUUUGUCAAUAACUGUAACACCUGCAUAGCUCCUUCCUGUACUCAUACAAGAUGACACAACUGUCCAUUUAUCAGUUGUUGGAUUAUAAUAUUCCACUGUUGAUAAAUUACAGGAACCAUCAUCUCCUCCAACUACAUACAAGAGACCAUUUACAGCACAAACGCCUGCGUUUCUUCUGCACAUGUUCAUAUCUGCAACCUGCUUCCACGUACAGGUGACAGGAUUGAACACUUCCACGCUUUUUCUUACCAAAGGACCAUCAUGACCACCUACUGCAUACAGUAAAUUGUUUAACACACCAACACCUGCUCCACUCCGUCUAGUGCUCAUUUCUGCAACAUAGCUCCACUCAUUUGUAUUGGCAUCAUAGCAUUCGACUGAACUAAGGCACUGACGUGAUGCCCCAUCAUAGCCACCAACUGCAUACAGUUUACCUCCAACAACACCCACUCCAACACUACUUCUUCUUGUGUUCAUUGGAGCUACAUGAAACCACUCAUUAGUCUUUAAGUUGUAAACUUCAACUGAUGAUAAACCUGUACUCCCAUCAAAUCCUCCCACAGCAUAGAGAAGUCCAUUUAAUACAGCUGCUCCCAGUGUGCUUCUCCUGUCUUGCAUAUUAGCAACACUUGUCCACUGGUCCUUCACUGGAUCAUAAGAAUCUACUGUGCGAACUCUUAAUGAACCAUUGAAACCACCAACAGCAUAAACCAUGCCUCCCAUGUACACCAUUCCUGCUCUACAUCUUCUGGAAGGCAACUCAGCCACCUGAUGCCAGCGUUCUUCUUUAAAAUCAUAGCAUUCAACACUGCGAAUUGCCUUUGGUGCCUGUCCUCCAACUACCAUCAUCAAUUUUGGAAGGCUAACAGGCGUUCUCAGUUUCGUUCGAGUGCUUUUCAUCAGCGCUCGUUGCUCAGUUGGCAGCAAGUGAUACUUCAUAGCUUCAAUGAGGUAAUCCUUACAAGCACUGCUGUUCUUAACCAAUAUUUCCUCUUCAACCCUCUGAACUAAAUACUCC
rnacentral:lncRNA from 1 species